rnacentral:rRNA from 1 species
UACGGAGGGUGCAAGCGUUGUCCGGAAUCACUGGGCGUAAAGGGCGCGUAGGCGGCUCAUGAAGGCUGUGGUGAAAGUCCGGGGCUCAACCUCGGAUCGGCCGUGGCGACUCGUGGGCUGGAGCACUGUAGAGGCGGGUGGAAUUCCGGGUGUAGCGGUGGAAUGCGUAGAGAUCCGGAAGAACACCGACGGCGAAGGCAGCCUUCUGGAAAGUACCUGACGCUGAGGCACGAAAGCGUGGGUAGCAAACAGG